AGUGAACGCUGGCGGUAGGCCUAACACAUGCAAGUCGAACGGCAGCACAGUAAGAGCUUGCUCUUACGGGUGGCGAGUGGCGGACGGGUGAGGAAUACAUCGGAAUCUACUUUUUCGUGGGGGAUAACGUAGGGAAACUUACGCUAAUACCGCAUACGACCUACGGGUGAAAGCAGGGGAUCUUCGGACCUUGCGCGAUCGAAUGAGCCGAUGUCGGAUUAGCUAGUUGGCGGGGUAAAGGCCCACCAAGGCGACGAUCCGUAGCUGGUCUGAGAGGAUGAUCGGCCACACUGGAACUGAGACACGGUCCAGACUCCUACGGGAGGCAGCAGUGGGGAAUAUUGGACAAUGGGCGCAAGCCUGAUCCAGCCAUACCGCGUGGGUGAAGAAGGCCUUCGGGUCGUAAAGCCCUUUUGUUGGGAAAGAAAAGCAGCAGGUUAAUACCCCGCUGUUCUGACGGUACCCAAAGAAUAAGCACCGGCUAACUUCGUG
rnacentral:rRNA from 1 species